rnacentral:rRNA from 1 species
CGUGGGUAACCUGCCCAAGAGAUCGGGAUAACACCUGGAAACAGAUGCUAAUACCGGAUAACAACAGAUGAUGCCUAUCAACUGUUUAAAAGAUGGUUCUGCUAUCACUCUUGGAUGGACCUGCGGUGCAUUAGCUAGUUGGUAGGGUAACGGCCUACCAAGGCGAUGAUGCAUAGCCGAGUUGAGAGACUGAUCGGCCACAUUGGGACUGAGACACGGCCCAAACUCCUACGGGAGGCAGCAGA